GCCACUGCUAUUGGGGUUCGGCUAAGCCAUGCGAGUGGAGGGCGUCCCGCAAGGGAUGGCCCCGCAGACGGCUCAGUAACACGUCGUCAACCCACCUUAAGGUGGGGGACAACCUCGGGAAACUGAGGAUAAUCCCCCAUAGGCGGGGGAGGCUAGAAUGCGCCCCCGCUGAAAGCUCAGGCGCCCUAGGACGGGACGGCGGCCUACCAGGUAGUUGGUGGUGUGACG
rnacentral:rRNA from 1 species